rnacentral:piRNA from 1 species
UAGAUACUAAGGUGCUUAAGAAGUUG